rnacentral:rRNA from 1 species
GACGUAGGGCGCGAGCGUUGUCCGGAUUUAUUGGGCGUCAAGAGCUCGUAGGCGGUUUGUUGCGUCGGCUGUGAAAUCCCGAGGCUCAACCUCGGGUCUGCAGUCGAUACGAGCAAACUAGAGUGUUGCAGGGGAGACUGGAAUUCCUGGUGUAGCGGUGAAAUGCGCAGAUAUCAGGAGGAACACCGGUGGCGAAGGCGGGUCUCUGGGCAACAACUGACGCUGAGGAGCGAAAGCGUGGGGAGCGAACAGG